CAUGUCUUAUCCUCCAAACCCAACUAGCCAAUGAAUAUUGAGCAUGUGUCAAACAAAAUCUCCCCUCUCCUCUUGCAUGUUCGGCAUCUAAGCUAAGGGAAGCUUUUUGUUCUCCAAGCUGUGUCACGGCUGAAUAUUUUUUUUGAACAAGGAAUUGAUGGCUCAAAUUGAUUCACUCACAUUUCCCUGAACCGUGAAAGAAAAAGAGAAAGCUGGUCAUCAUCCUCACCAUCUCUCUAGGCGUGAGGUAGAGAACAAAAAGAGACAAAUCGGUUGUGUCUCAUUUUAACAAAGAAAAAUCAGAAACACUACCCUAUCCUCAUCGUCCCCUAAAACCGUGACCUCCACUAGGGGCAGAUUCAUCUUCCAACUUUCAAGUUUCAUUCCUCUUCAUGGCUGGGCCGUGAGCUUUCGAACAAGGGGGAACUAUCUGGUCUUUCUUUUGUUCUUGUUCGGCUGGACACCACACACAAGGAGCCGUACCAGAGCCAUCCUUUCCCUUGCAUGUAACUGGAUUCAAACCUUUAGAAUAUAGGAAAAGUAAUGGGGCUGCUCUCUGUUGGUUGUGGGCAUUGGUGCGUAUGGGAAUUGGUGCGCAUAAACCUUGAAUGUGGACUGAGUUCGCUGUUGUUUGAUUUAUAUUUGGGCACACAAGGAGGACGCAAAAGCGUAUGAGGACUUGGAUAUUUGCUGUUGGUUUCUACUGUUGGGCAUGUUACUGUGAUUGUAUUAAUUUUAUGGAUGACUGUAUGAAAUUGAGAAGCUUAUAUUACUGUGAAUUAUGAUUUUAUUAUUGCAUUAUGAUUUUAUGACCAGCAAGUAUCUUGGAA